rnacentral:misc_RNA from 1 species
UAUCAACUUUUUCCUUUGCAGGAUUUAUAACAAGGACCGUCGGAGUGAUAGGACAGACUGCCAAGAUCUUCUGCAACAUUUCCUCAGAAGCGGUUGAUGACCGCGUGAUGCUUACCCUGUGGUUCAAAAGCAAGAGUAAGAAGCCAAUGUACAGCUACGACGCAAGAAGCUCGACGCCAAGAGAAUGGUCAGACAGUUCCUUCUUCGGCGACAGAGCCAAGUACGUGGCCGUGGAACAACCUCCUUAUUUGGCCAUCACGGACGUCAAGGCCACUGACGAAGGGGUCUACGAGUGUCGUGUUGACUUUGCGAGGUCACCUUCGCGGAGACAUCGGACGAGUCUUGGUGUCAUUAUUCCACCAGGUACUCCCAGGAUUUUGAGAAACGACAGUACUGUUGCUUCGAAUGGAAUCGCGGGCCCAUAUAAUGAAGGUUCAAACGUUACCAUCACGUGUCAAGUAAAAGGAGGAAAACCACCCCCGCAAGUGAAAUGGUGGAGAGAAAAUGAACUGCAAGAUGACGAGGUGGAGAAGAGAAUGGCUGGAGAAUAUCGCAAUGAAUUACACAUCGGCCCCUUAACGCGUGAACAUCUCAAUGCGAAGUACGUGUGUCAGGUGACCAACCAUGAACUUGUCGACGCUCGCAGUGCCAACGUCGUCCUGCUUGUCAACUUGCCUCCCCUGGAAGUGAAGUUCGUAGACCCCCCGAGUCACGUCGUUGCAGGCAAGAGUCACGCAGUGCAAUGCAAAAGCAGUGGCGGUCGUCCCCAUUCCCGGAUCUCAUGGUGGCUAGACGGAAAGCCCUUUGGGACAGAGGCGUUUAAGAUGGUCAACAAAACCGACGGAACCUUGAGCACUCUCACCUUCACGCCCACGGAGGAGGACCAUAACAAAAUGUUGCAUUGCAAGGCUGAGUCCCCCGUUUUGCAGCACACGCCCAUUGAGGACACCUUGAAACUCGACGUUUAUUCUGUACCUAAGGUCCUUAGUAUCGACAUUGAAACCCCGGACCCUGCUUACGUUAAGGAAGGAGAAAACGUAACCCUUUGGUGCAGAGUCAAGGCUUAUCCCAAGGUCAAGCAAAUCACCUGGUAUCAUAAGGGAAUCCAAGUGCGGCACAAUUUGGAGGAGGGGAUUAAAGUGGGAAGGCAGAAGCUGAUGAUGAUCGGGAUAGAGCGACACCGGGCGGGUAUGUACUCUUGCAGGGGCACCAACGCUGUAGGAGAUGGCCAAAGCGAACCCUCUAUCCUUGAUGUGAAAUAUGCCCCCGUAUGCUCCUUCAACUCUUCGGAAAAAGUGGGGAUCGCAAGGAACGACCAAGUGAUGGUUCAGUGUCGCGUCGACGCCUCCCCCGGCCACGUCACCUUCAAGUGGUACCUCAGAACCAAUACCAAGCUGAUCAACAUACCCACGGAAUGGUUUACCGUGCAGGACCGCACUUCGAGUCUCAACUACAAUGUCACGGGCAUAUAUGCGUACGGCGACAUCCUCUGCUACGCCUCGAACGAGCUGGGGGAACAAGCCAAGCCGUGCAGCUACACCCUGGUCCCGGCGGGCAGACCAGAGCCGCCCAGAGACUGCACGGCGAGUAACCACACCGCAGACACCUUCCACGUGGCCUGCUUCCCUGGCUACGACGGAGGACUCGAGCAGGAAUUCGUCGUCCUGGCCUUCGACGACAAGAACGAACGCCUCAUUCGCAACGAGACCGUGAAGGGAGCACCCGUCUUUACCCUGGAAGAUCUUCCUCCCGAGUCAGACUACCUGGUUAAGGUGUACGCCCAAAACAUCAAAGGAAAGAGCACGGAGCAGGUGUUACACGGGUUUACUUUGCCUUCCGCUCAACCAGGCACAGCCGUUCCCGCCACCCACAUCUUCCCCAUCACGCCCAUCUUGGGUGUGCUGAUCGGCGUGGUGGCUGCCCUGGUGUUGGUGGCCGUGGUGGUGGUGGUGGUGAUGAAGUUACGAGGCGACACCAGGACCAUCAAAGGGAGGCCUGAGGGGGGGUUGAAGGGGCCUCACUCCCCCCUUCACCCGGCUAAGGACGGAGAUGACGGGCCCGACGUCAUCUUGUGUCGCACGGACUCAACGUACGAGGACGUCGAUGGCAUCCCCCAGAAGCUGAAGCACGCCAACAUCUACGAGACUGUCCCUUACGACACGAAGGACAAAAACAGCAAGAACAGUGAGUCUUGUUGUACUUAUGCCUGCUAGCUACUGUCUGCCUGCUACCCUGCCUUCCAAAAUGUAUUUAAUCUAUGUACCUUCAUCAGCAUUGUAUUUAAUAUCACAGCGGUGACACGGAUGAAGUGGCAUAUGCCGAGCUGACCUUCAGCAACGGCAAGAGCAAAUCCAAGAAGAACAAGAAGCCCGGAGCAAACGGCGCCAUCAGAACCUCCGAGGAAUCCACCAUCUACGCCACCAUCGACC